GAACAACUCCCCAAAGUCUCCUUAGCAGCCAGGAUUCACUAGAGACACCACUAAGACUGCCCUUGAGUCAUCCAAUCUUUGCCUCAGACCCCACAGACUAAAGCCACCCAGGCUGGUCACCCUCACUGCCGCCCCCGGGUCUGGGCCAAGCCUAGACGGAGCAGUGUUGUUGGAGUCCAGAGGCAGAGGCCGACCCACCCAGCUUGACUUCUCCCAUCCCACAGCAGGGCGACUGGGUCCAGUGGACAAGCUGUGGGCUGGGAGACAUCCAAUCCCAGCUCAGAGAGGUUGAGUCCAGCCCUUGCCACACACCCGAAUGUGCCGUGCACCAGCCCAGGAAUGACCAGGGCACGUGCCCCUUACAGGGUGUGCGCAGCAGGCUGCACGGGUUCCUCGUGGGCCUAGCCUGAGCUCCAGCACCGCCCGGUCAUCGCAGGAAAAGGUUGAGGCAGGUUGUUUGCACCUUGAGUCCUCAGACACGCUGGCUCAGCCAGGGCUGAAAUAGCCUAGGAGUGUGGCCUUGAAGGAUGGAAUGACAACAGGACAUGGAUGUGAGGAGGACCUGAGGCAAAGCUCCAGAUGGACAAGAGCAGGGAUCACCGCAGUACAGGCCGGGAGCACUGCAGAUUGAACCCAAAGUCUUGUGCAUGUGAGGCAGGCACUCUACUACUGAGCCACAUCUCUGGCCAGGGACUCUGUGUUCUACAAUGGAAUCUAUCAUAUCCUGGCUGGUACUGCAUCUUCCA
rnacentral:lncRNA from 1 species